rnacentral:rRNA from 1 species
GUCCACGCCGUAAACGAUGAGUGCUAGGUGUCAGGGGUAUCGACCCCCUGGUGCCGUCGCUAACGCAUUAAGCACUCCGCCUGGGGAGUACGGCCGCAAGGUUGAAACUCAAAGGAAUUGACGGGGCCCGCACAAGCGGUGGAGCAUGUGGAUUAAUUCGUCACUAACCGAAGAACCUUACCCAGGCUUGACAUCGAGGGUAAGCCUAUGAAAGUAGGCCCUCCCGCAAGGGACCCGAAGACAGGUGUUGCAUGGCUGUCGU